GGCCGUGAGGUCACUGACCCCCUAGUCUGUGAUGUGAUGCUGAAAUGGAUGGGUGGGUGGGUGCAUGUCUGCAGCAGCUGUGUGGUGAUGAGGCAGAGGUGCGGUGUGUUUGAAUGUCCUUUGGUUGGUUGUGUGAUCAUAGCUGGUGACAUUCUACCUCAUAAACAAAUAUACCCUCGGGGGUACACAUUAAAGCUCAGUAAACAGUGACUUUUUUCACAUUCUUAUAGAUACUGUCUGCUAUUUAGAAAUUAGUGACAAUUGAACAGUAAUCUCCCGGGAGACAAAUUUUGCAGUUUGGUUUUUAUUAUCUUGGUUCCUAGUAUAAUUUUUCAUUUUAACCUCAGGAUUGGUUUUCAAAAAAGUAGUUUUCAAAAAAGAAAAUUCUUAAACUUUUCUAUGUUCUCUGUUACUUCUUUUGUGUUUUAUGGUGCUGUGUCUUAGCAAUUCCGUUCUGUUGGAGCCAUCACCUGGGUUUGGCUGGCUUGCAUUUCUUUCAUUAAUUUAGCAUCAGGAAACUUGCACAGUGAUGAAUUUUUUAAUUAUGUUUUGAGAGAUUUUUUUCCUGACACCUACACUCCAGUUGCUUUUUCCUGCUUCCCUCACUACAGUUUUUAAGGAAAAUUGUCAGUAAGUGUCAUUAUUCAGGCCACAUGUGGAUUGCUAAUGACAGCAGUUAAAAGAUCAUGUUUCUGUUUUACUUUCUAUUUAGCAGAGCGCUUUCACAGGCUCUGUCUCCUGUGGUUUUUAUAACCAACAGGUGACUUACUUAUUGCGCCUUCAUGUUGCAGACAAGGAAUCCGAGGAUACGGCACGAGGCAGCUCGGGCAGUUCACCCCAGGGCUGGGCUGGUCGACCACAUAAGGCUCUCGGUUCUGUUUCACGCCUCCUCCCAGUAGUGGGGGUGACAGAACGAACCCUCACCCCCCACCCUUUCCUGUACAGAGCUGUCUCCCUGACAUCUUGGCUGUACUCCUUCCCAGGAGGGAGGAAGAGGUAGGGCAGAUCUUAGGGUAUCACUGGUCAUCAUCUGCGGAAGAAGAGUGGGCUUGAAAGGCAGCCAAUGCUGAGGGCCGCCCCUUUGCCACACACCCCCAGGACGCCUGGAUGUGGGGACAGUGUGGGGAUGGAAUGAAGCGGGAGCUGGUUCUCAACCCCACCUUCUGUUUUCCAGAGAUGUGUGAACAGCCAGCAUGUGUCAGGAACCCAUCCUCAUUCUGGUGUCCCAGGCCUCUUUCAGAUAGCCAGGAGGGUGGAGGCAGGCACACACGGGCCGUCAGCUUUCUGUGAAAUGCUUCAGCUACCUCACUGUCUUAAUGCUACUAUGUUAGUAUUGUACGUGUGUAUACAAUACGGUACAAGUCAUGCGUACAGUAAACACAAGUAGGUUCACAUAAACAUAAACAUAGUCACAUAUAGGGGAGACUCACAGGUAUAGACACCCACGUAGACACAGUCACAUAUACAGUAGACACACAAGUACUGACACAUAUAGAUGCAUACAAAGUCACACGUACGUACAGUGGACACAGGUACAUACAUAGACACACACUCAUACACCAAUGUACAUAUAACCCCACAAAGUAAAUACAUAUGUAGAUACACGUGUAAACACAGACGCAUGUAGACACAUAGGUACGCAGCACACAUGUAGACCCACAAACGUAACCACAUAGGUACACACGCAGAUACAGACACACAGGUGCAUAUGUAGACCCAUAGACACACGUGUAGGCACAUGUGUAGAUCUGUACACAGACACACACAUGUAGACACACGUGGACACCGACACGCACAGACACAUGCGGAUGUGUAGACAUGUACAUGUAGACACACGUUUACUAUCACCGGUAUCUUCAGUUCUCACAGAGACUAGUUAAGUGUUCUUUUUUCCAUCUUCUAGAUGAGAAACUAGAAGUUCAGGGAGGUAUGUGAUUGUUAACGAUAGCCCAGUGAAUAGCUCAUCAAAACGGUGCAAGUCUAGCUUUGUCUGGUCUGUUAUCUGGCUUCUUACCACAUAGAAGACUGCAGCUUGUCGUGUUCUCCAGGCUCUAACUUUCUGUGUUAAAUUUUUUUUUAAUUGGAAAUUAAGACAUAGCACAGUCUAUUUCCUGUGUUACCUCUGUUUCCUAAUGAGGAGGGGUGGGGAGGAUAACCCUAAGUUUACCUGGCAUUUGCUAAGGUAUAUUUUGCUAAUCCUCCUGGCUAUUGUAGGAGACAGGAGAGGUGCUGCUUGCCUCAUUGUUUUUCUUUUCAAAGAGAAAAGAAAACCUCUGUCGUUGAGAGAGGUUGACAAAGUAGGAAACGGUGCUGGAGCUGCCUUGGCCUCAGGUGCAUUUCCAUGAGCCUGUGUAGGGAGAGUGGAGUAGAUGUGGGAGGGAAGCGUGGGUGGAGGGUGGUAGUGGAGGAAAUUGCACCUGUCUCCAUCCGGGCCACCUGGAGCCCUCCUUCGGAAUCUCUGCUCACAUCAGACAGCAUCCCCAUGAGGUGGUGUAACACCUGUUGUGCUUGGUGUCUGCCCUUUCCAGUUAGAACCCAGACUCGGGGAUGAGCUCAGAGCUCAGCCUGCUUUGGGCAAAGGAGCUCACAGUCCAAGGGAAGAGCUGGACCAGUGACCCAGUGUUAGCUGGUGACACUCCUCUGCUCUGUACUCCUGUAGCUUCCGUCGGUCUGAGAGUAAGACUCGCAUCUACCGUCUGUGUGGUCUGGGUUCCCGUUAUUCCCUGGUCUUUCAUAUCAUCCUCCUCCCACAGCUCUGCUGGCUUCUGGAUGUUUCUUGAGCACCUGAUUGCUAUGGGGCCUUUCGCUCCCUGCUCCUGCUGCCUAGAAUGUUCUCUCAUGUAUAUACAUUGCUUGUUACCUUUCCAUCAGAUCUGUGCUCAAGGGUUACUGCUUUUGUGAGGCAUUCCCUGACCAGCCUGUUAAAAUGGUAAGACACGGUAUCACCUUGUGUGUAGUCCCUACCCUUCCCCUCCUGAUUUUAUGUGUGUCCAUUGAGUUACCAACCCCAGCACUAUCAGCCAUCUGUCUUCCUGCCUACCUGCCUGUCGUCUGUCCAUCUAUCUGUCAUUUUGCUACCUAUGUUAGUAAUCCGUGUACCAAUUUAUCCACCUGUCUGUCUACCGUGGGAAUGUAAGGCUCACAAAGACCAGGGUCUUUCUUGUUUAUUCAUGUAUGGCAAGCAUUGAAAAUGGUGCCUAGUUGAUAGUUCUGGAAGGAAGGAAGGUGAAGGAGCAUAGCACAUUUGGGGAAAAGCAAGAAGGUGGGAUGGCCAGAUUUUGAGAUCUGUUGUGUACUGUGCCUGAGAACUUAGACGUUAUAUUGAAGAUGACAGGGUACUCCUUGAAGAUUUUAUGCAAAGGCAUAAGAGGAGAGGAUUUAGGGUUUGGGAAAGACUUUCGCAGCUUUAUGGCCUAUGGAUUGCACGUAGAGGAAUUGGAAAAACUCUGAGAUUGAUGCACGUUUAGGAGAGGCAUCCAUGCCAGUGAGAUCUGACAUCUGUUUAGAAGGUGACAGCAACAGGACCUUGAGGCUGGGUCAGCAUGGGGGGCACGUGAGGUGGGAAUUCCUGGUGACUGGUGCCCUCCAGCUGUGUGGGUGAUGGUCUCCAGUUCCUCUUUAGAGGAUUAAGGUUUUUGUAAGUUAAAGAUGGUGGGAUUUGUCCUGCUGUUCACUGUGUAAAGAAUACUAUGAAAAUGUUAUUCCUUAUAGACUUCUAAUUUUUUAAAAUUCAUACUACUGUCAAUUUUGAAUAAAUAAUAACUGCUUAAUUUACGUAUAGGGGAAACCUAUCCAGAAGUUCUUUGCAUGUGCUUGUGAAUCUCAGCGGGGUUUCAUCAGGACUGUCAUCUCCUAUGACCCACACAGAGCACCUCCCCAGUGUCUCGUGGCCACCCUGGAGGAGUGCUUGUGAGGGCUCGUGGGUCACGAUUCAGCCCAUUUGAUGGUCUCACUCAUGACCUUAUUCUCUGCUAUUUCCUGUUGUUAAAAUAGACUAGUCAUGAGUUUUCUUAAUUUAGACAUUUCACUAAUACACUGUAAGUUACUUUCUCUUACAGUAUAUAUUCACAUAUCAUUUUUUAAAAUAUGAUGUGAAACUUUAAGAGCUUAUUGUAGUCUAUGGCCAGUGUACAGGUGUCAGGAUUUUCUGGUUUGUUUUUUCCUGAGCCAGCAUGGAAGAUUUAAGAGACUCAAAAGAAAAAGUUUUGUGGCCCUCAGGAGAUUUUGUUUUCUAAAAUUCUUAGACCACUCAGUUUGCAGCAGAGGUACUUUGGAUGCUUUAGUGAUCAAAUGACAUCAACCAAGAAGUAAUUCUAUUAUCUCAUUGAUAAUUGCCCUAAUUAACACUCAAUCCAGUCAGCCAUAUAGCCUCAAAUUUAAUCUCUCUUGCUAUGCUUUUCCAUUUCAUUUCCAAACCCAUGGUCUUCCAUUGUAAUGAAGUCCUACUGGAAUUCUUUAUAGUAGUGUGUACCUUUCUCUUUUUAAAAUAACUUUAUUUGGAAACUUAAAUUUGAUUUGGAAAGUGAAUGAAUGCAUGAAUGAACAAACAGGCAUUUCCUGAGUACCUAGAAAAUGUCAAACUCUGUAUUAGGAAGUCUGUUACUCUUACUGAAUAAGUCUAGGUUGGAGCUUAAAGGGAGUUUAGCUGUUUUUUUACACCCUUUUCCCCCAACCAGGAGUCCUAGAAAAAACUUGAAGAUUUGUGUUGUUUCUAUUCCUACCAGGACCAACUAGGAUACCUUAAAAUAAACAUGGAGCAUACAGUUUCCUACUAUAGUAUGUUUAAAAUGAUGGUUUUGUCUCUUGGUGAGCUGACACACAGCUUUAAAAAGCACAUCCCAGUUCAUAUGUGUGCCUGGACCAGAGAGGUUGCCUUCCAGGGGCCCGACACUCCGGGUGGAACACCACAGAGCCCUGUCUCCCUCCUGCGCAGCAGACUGAGAUAGGUCCAGGGACCCAGGGGGACCCCCACCCUCCAGGGACAUCUGUGAGGUCAGACUGUUGCCAGAGUAACACUGUCACAUGAUCUGCUGUGUCCACACCCAUCCCCUCCUGGUCCUACGUGGAUUUUCCUGAGGCUGCUGGACACGUGCUGCGUUCUGACAGUUGGUGCAGAUGGUGAUUGUGAAAUCUCACAUUUUAAAAAGUUUUUCAGUUUACUUUCUAAUACAGUAAACAUCAAGACGUCAGUCCUAUAAACAAAAGCUUUUAAAACGUUUUCACCCCUUUUUAACAGUUUAAAAAACAUCCUUUGGGUCUAAGAGUUUGAGAACCACUGCUAUGUGGUAAAAAUGAAAUUCCUCUUUCAAACUUGAGAGAGGAUAUGAGCUACAGACUUCCACGUGCGAACCCCUUCCCGAGGCUGGCUCUGCGCUGCUGACGGUUUACAGUCUGACUUACUCCAGCGAUCAGUUGCCGGUGUCCCGUUCAACACGUGUGCAGACACUUUCGCGUGCUGCGCUUUUGCUGUGCACUGUCGCCGUAUUUAAGACCGGCGGCUGCUGCACCGGGCAGUGCAGGCGUAGAAAACUGCCACAGCAGAAGGUGUCAUCCCACGGAGCCGUGCUAGAACCACGGCUGUGAGAGACUUGGAAGAUGGAAGAUGUGGUUGAAGACAGACCAUAAAGGCCUAUUUGUCCAAAACUAAUGAAAACGAACUCAUUUUUGA